CAGUGCAUGGAGCUGGAGCUCUGAGCACAUUUAAAAGUUUCUUUCUCUCGUGUAUGUUGUUCAGGUAGCCAUGGAUACGAUCCACAAGUUAUUGAACUUUGUGGCUCCUCCUUUGGCUCUUGUCGCUCUAUGUCUCACCUUACCCUUGUUAUACAUAUGCAAGAUUAUUAGUUACAUCCUAAGAUCCAUCUCUACCGAAGACUUGACCGGAAAAGUAGUUAUCAUCACCGGCGCUUCUUCUGGCAUCGGCGAGCACUUAGCUUAUGAGUACGGGAGGAGAGGAGCCCGUCUGGUCCUGGUUGCCAGAAGGGAGAACAGCCUUAGGGAAGUUGCGAAGAAAGCCGGACAACUCGGCUCCCCGGAUGUUUUAGUUGUUCGAGCAGACGUUUCCAAGGUCGAGGACUGUAAGCGUUUUAUUCAAGAAGCAGUGAACCACUUCGGACGAAUCGAUCAUCUGAUUUGUAAUGCUGGGAUCACUUGCGCCUGCAUAUUCGAAGACGCAUUGGAUGUUACCAAUUUUAGAACUGUGAUGGAUAUUAAUUUCUGGGGUUCCAUUUAUUCAACCUAUUUCGCAAUUCCUCACCUCAGAAAGAGCAAAGGAAAGAUCAUCGUGAUUUCUUCGUCAGCUGGGUCGUUUGUCUCACCAAUGAUGAGCUUGUAUGGUGCCAGCAAAGCAGCAAUGAUAAACUUCUAUGAGACACUGAGAGUGGAAUUAGGACAGGAAGUUAAAGUGACGCUGGUAACUCCUGGAUUUGUAGAAUCAGAGAUGACCCAAGGAAAACACCUUUCCAAAGGAGGUUCUCUCGAAGUAGAUGCGGAACUGAGAGAUGUUGCAAUCGGAGCAGUUCCAGUUCUGAGUGUAAGUGAAUGCACAAAAUCAAUAGUGAAUGGAGCAUGUCGGGGAGACAGAUACGUGACGGAGCCAUCGUGGUUUGGACUGUUGUUCGUCUUCCAAUUCUGCUGCCCGGAGCUGGUCGAAUGGUUUUGUCGCAUGCUCUACGGGACCAAACCAGGCGCCUCCAACAGGGAAACUCUUAGCAGGAAGCUCUUAGAUGUUGUGGGAGCCAAGAAGUUCUUUUAUCCAUCUUCCAUUCAUUCAUCUCAGAUUAAGAAAGACUGAGGCCCCGUUUGGUUCGUGGGAAUAAAUGUGGUGGUCAUUGUUUUGUCUUGUGUACGGUGUCAGCAGUUCAACCCUCAACUUGGUUAGGGGUGGUUGAUAGAGAGACCUUACCUGGAAUCCAAUGCCCUUGUGUGAAGUCGGGAUCCUUUGCAAAGAUGUUCUCAAUGUGUGUGUGCCAAAUUCAUACAGAGAGAUGUUCUCAAUGUGUGUCAAAAUUCCCAUGUUUACUUACUGCAGAGUGUAUUCAGAGCUUUUGUUUGCAGAGAAUCCCGUGGCCCUCUUGUGUGGUACUGUGGCCUCUUUAUUUUCCAUUUGAAAAAAGUUGAUUAUGAGUUGAGGGCACAUUCUUUCUAUAUAUGAAAAUUAAGGUUGGUUAUUCGUGGGAA